GUCUCUUUGGGAUCAUUGAAUUAGGAACAGUUCCUCAGUCUGACAUUGUCUUUCACAACCUUGACAUCUUUGAAGAGUAGAGAGAUCUUCCCCUGAGGCGUUCAAUGGAUUCAUCUGACAGAAGCGGAUAAACCUCCUCACCAGAGAAGUGGGGCACCUCAUGCCCAGGUUCGCCUAACUCCUGAGGCCAGGCUGGUAGAAGAUCCUAGGAAGGUCCAUCUGUACUGCAAUGGGUGUUCCUGGUUUGGAAGCACACUUCGUAGGGGCUGCAGAGAAGCGUCGGUUACAUUCUAUGGAGUCCAGGACUGAGAUGAACUAAAAAAAGUGGUGAAAAUUCAUCAACUGUGUCAGAAAAAAAAAUCAAAACCAAGAUAGUCUGCUUUUGGGUGAUAUUCAAAGCUGCCAUCGCUUACCCGCGCGCUCCAGAAGCCGCAGAGGAAAGAGCAUCCUUCUUCCCAUCCCCAGAGAGCCAGGAGUGGGCUCAGGAUCCAAGCUCAGCUACAAAGAUGUUCAUGCCAAGAGUAGUCUAGGAAUCUCCGAUGACAGUGCUGCAGUGUCCCCACAGCAGAGAGAGUGCCCCACAGCACACGGCUGCAUCCUGGCUGGAUUGUCUCUUGUGAAGGUAGAUUUGCCAUUUUUCUUGAUUUUGGAACUUUAAGGUUGUCUUGGUUACUGUGUAUUUUGUAAGCUGGACUUUUCACCC
rnacentral:lncRNA from 1 species